GAGUUUGAUCGUGGCUCAGGAUGAACGCUGGCGGCGUGCCUAACACAUGCAAGUCGAACGGAGUUUAUGAGGAAGAAGCUUCGGCGGAAUUCUUAUAAACUUAGUGGCGGACGGGUGAGUAACACGUGGAGAACCUGCCUCUUACCGGGGGACAGCAGUUGGAAACGACUGAUAAUACCGCAUAAGCGCACGAGACCGCAUGGUCCUGUGUGAAAAGAUUUAUCGGUAAGAGAUGGCCCCGCGUCUGAUUAGCCAGUUGGCGGGGUAACGGCCCACCAAAGCGACGAUCAGUAGCCGGCCUGAGAGGGUGAACGGCCACAUUGGGACAGAGACACGGCCCAGACUCCUACGGGAGGCAGCAGUGGGGGAUAUUGCACAAUGGAGGAAACUCUGAUGCAGCGACGCCGCGUGAGUGAA
rnacentral:rRNA from 1 species